GACCUGGUGGUGUAGUGGUAACACAUGCUCUCUUUGUACUCCUUCAAGAUUUUUCAUGAGGCAGUUUCCCUGUUCGAUUCAGGGCCAGGCCG